AUGCACUGGUUUGUAUGGUGGAAGCUUUGUUUCCCAAAGAGCCUUGGAGGGCUUGGUUAUCGUAACUUUCCUUCAUUCAAUCUUGCGAUGUUGGCUAAGCAGGUUUCGAGAAUUAUAUGCAAUCCUGAUUCCAUUUAUGCAAAGGUUUUGAAGGAAAAAUACUUCCCCAGCCAAAGCAUACUUGAAGCUGGCCCAAAGAAGGGAUCUUCCUUCACAUGGCAGAGUAUAUUUGCGGGCAUUGAAACAUUUAAAAGAGGGCGCAUAUGGAGAUUAGGAAAUGGAGAAUCAAUUGACAUAUGGAGAGACCCGUGGAUUCCUACCAGCCCGGAGAGGAAGGUUAUGUCAAGGAGGGGAAUUGCAAAAGUAUCAGACUUGAUCGACCCUUAUUCGGGUUAAUGGGAUGAGGCCCUAGUACGUUCUGCGGUCUCACAUGUUGAUGCUUCAAGAAUUCAAAGUAUUACAUUAAGUCCUAAAAGCGUUAAUGAUUUUGUAGCAUGGCACUACAACCCAAAUGGAAUAUUUUCAGUAAAAUCCGCAUAUCAUGUGGAGUGGCGGCACUAG
rnacentral:rRNA from 1 species